UACAGAGGGGGCAAGCGUUAUUCGGAAUUAUUGGGCGUAAAGGGCGCGUAGGCGGCCUGGCAAGUGGAAGGUGAAAUCCCUCGGCUUAACCGAGGAACUGCCCUCCAAACUGCUUGGCUUGAGUCCGGGAGAGGUGAGUGGAAUUCCCAGUGUAGCGGUGAAAUGCGUAGAUAUUGGGAGGAACACCAGUGGCGAAGGCGGCUCACUGGACUGGUAUUGACGCUGAGGUGCGAAAGCGUGGGGAGCAAACAGG
rnacentral:rRNA from 1 species